rnacentral:rRNA from 1 species
UGAGGAAUAUUGGUCAAUGGGCGAGAGCCUGAACCAGCCAAGUCGCGUGAAAGAAGACAGUCCUAAGGAUUGUAAACUUCUUUUAUACGGGAAUGACGGGCGAUACGAGUAUUGCAUUGAAUGUACCGUAAGAAUAAGCAUCGGCUAACUCCGUGCCAGCAGCCGCGGUAAUACGGAGGAUGCGAGCGUUAUCCGGAUUUAUUGGGUUUAAAGGGUGCGUAGGUUGUUCGGUAAGUCAGCGGUGAAACCUGAGCGCUCAACGUUCAGCCUGCCGUUGAAACUGCCGGGCUUGAGUUCAGUGGCGGCAGGCGGAAUUCGUGGUGUAGCGGUGAAAUGCAUAGAUAUCACGAGGAACUCCGAUUGCGAAGGCAGCUUGCCAUACUGCGACUGACACUGAAGCACGAAGGCGUGGGUAUCAAACAGG